rnacentral:rRNA from 1 species
GAUGAACGCUGGCGGCGUGCCUAAUACAUGCAAGUCGAGCGAACGGACGAGAAGCUUGCUUCUCUGAUGUUAGCGGCGGACGGGUGAGUAACACGUGGAUAACCUACCUAUAAGACUGGGAUAACUUCGGGAAACCGGAGCUAAUACCGGAUAAUAUUUUGAACCGCAUGGUUCAAAAGUGAAAGACGGUCUUGCUGUCACUUAUAGAUGGAUCCGCGCUGCAUUAGCUAGUUGGUAAGGUAACGGCUUACCAAGGCAACGAUGCAUAGCCGACCUGAGAGCGUGAUCGGCCACACUGGAACUGAGACACGGUCCAGACUCCUACGGGAGGCAGCAGUAGGGAAUCUUCCGCAAUGGGCGAAAGCCUGACGGAGCAACGCCGCGUUAGUGAUGAAGGUCUUCGGAUCGUAAAACUCUGUUAUUAGGGAAGAACAUAUGUGUAAGUAACUGUGCACAUCUUGACGGUACCUAAUCAGAAAGCCACGGCUAACUACGUG